rnacentral:rRNA from 1 species
GUGGGGAAUAUUGGACAAUGGGCGAAAGCCUGAUCCAGCCAUGCCGCGUGUGUGAAGAAGGUCUUCGGAUUGUAAAGCACUUUAAGUUGGGAGGAAGGGCAGUAAGUUAAUACCUUGCUGUUUUGACGUUACCGACAGAAUAAGCACCGGCUAACUUCGUGCCAGCAGCCGCGGUAAUACGAAGGGUGCAAGCGUUAAUCGGAAUUACUGGGCGUAAAGCGCGCGUAGGUGGUUUUGUAAGUUGGAGGUGAAAUCCCCGGGCUCAACCUGGGAACUGCCUCCAAAACUGCAUGACUAGAGUACGGUAGAGGGUAGUGGAAUUUCCUGUGUAGCGGUGAAAUGCGUAGAUAGAGGAAGGAACACCAGUGGCGAAGGCGACUACCUGGACUGAUACUGACACUGAGGUGCGAAAGCGUGGGGAGCAAACAGGAUUAGAAACCCUGGUAGUCC